GAAGGAUGUGAGUAUGAGACAUUGUAGACUUACUGUGUAAAACUGUGGACAAUAUAAUGAAUGUUCAUAAGGAUUUUCUUAACACCUUCUUAAUAGUAUCACUACUGCUGUCAUCUAUGCCUCUGUGUUAUUGAUUUUAGAAUUAGUAUGAUGUCUUAAGUCGAUCAGAAGUGGUUUCUAUUUGAAUUAGUCGUGAAAAUUUGUAGAUCAUAUCCUACCGAACCACCAUUUUUCCAUAGAACUUUUCUGCCCCUAAUUUACAUGAAAAUACAAUAGAUGAAUUGUCAUUCGAUGAAAAUCAUUUGAAUAUCUGAUUAAGCAAUAAGGUAGCUAGUAGGAUUUUGAGGGUAUCUCAGAAUAAGAAGAUGAGGACCCGAGUUCACCAGAGUAUAUUUCAUCUGUUGUACAACUGCCUGGCCGUAUCUAUUUAGUAGGAUCUCUGUGCAUAGUUUUCCCUAUUAUUCUACAUAUAGUUAUUAUAUAACAUUAGGCUGUAGUCCAGCACCUUCAAGGCUGGAGUAGCACUGUGAACUGUGAAAUGACAACCUUUUGUGAUCUUUAUCAUCAUCAUUUGUAUCUAAAGUUUGUGUUAUAAUUGUGGAUUUAAUGUUUUACUUCGUCCAGAUCUUGUCACAUGAUAGACAAUUUACUUGAUCGUUAUUGGAACUUUGCAUGAGAGAGAUGUUCAGGAACUAUCGGAAAAAUGUCACCCUUUGGGUAUGUUUGGCAGGUGUACACACCGCCUAUAUCACAUACCGGCAAGCAUAAACAACAACCUCGUAGGUGGCCCCCGCGUCAUGGUUAGUCCCGCCUACAACAUGCCUCCGGUAGACCUAUACCCGAGCUACCGAGCUAUGGUGGAGGUCGGCCGGUAUCUAGACGGGAGGUCAUCCUCCCAUGCUCUCCAAAAGGCUUCAAGAGAAACAAAUAAACACAUAUUGUCCCACAUCAGAAAUAUAGAAUAGAAUGAGACUUCCUUUAACUAUUAAAGGAACCUCCCCUUCUUGGAAAGGGAUGGGAUCCAUGAUCCCCACACUUGUAUAUUACAAAAGCUACUUGGCCUCACUCAUAGUGAAAUCUCUAAGUGGACGUAACUUUGCCUCAAGGGCAAGGUGAACCACUAUACAUGUUUGUGUCACUAUCUCUCUCUCCAUCAUGAUCCAUACUUAGUUCCCCGUAUUCUCUCACAGAAAAAACAGCAUUGCUAUCCUGGCAGUUGCACAGAAUAUGCAGGAGCUUUACAUCUUGCUCCUUAUUUUUCUGAGUGCAUUACAUCAGAGGAUCUGGAUGACAUGAAUAUUGAAAUCAUGAGGAAUACUCUUUAUAUGGCAUACCUUGAAGACUUACAGGUUUUGUCAGACUAACUAGGUGGUGCCACAGCAUAGAUUAUGUCUGACUUGCUUUUGAGGCUGACAGAAGGGCUGUCAAUAUUACCAUAAAUAGCCCUCGAACAGAGCUAAUUACCCGAGAUGAUCAGAAGAAAUGGUAUACUAACUUUGGUUUAUUUUAGGUCACACUGUGAUUAGUUGGCAAUUGUGUACUAUGUUUCCAUACAAGAUUGCUAUAUCUGACUUCUGUGUGUUGGUUUUGUACAUCGAUGGACCAAAAAGAAACAUAAUUUAGUCAGGGCCCUAGUAUAAGAGGAUUUGAGUCAUUAUGAUUUCAUGGAUCCUCCUGCUCCUGAGACAAUGAUGGAUGCACUAGAGGUUUUGUAUUUUUUGGGAGCCCUUGAUGAAGAUGGUAACUUGACCAAGGUGGAGGAGAUUAUGAGUGAAUUCUCUACAUGACUGAGGACAGUACCUGACAAGGAAAGAGAAACAAGUGGUACAUUUGCAUCCCUCAAAUUCUCUGGAUCACAAACUGGAGUUUCUGAUCUACAACAAGUAUGUCUUGACAAGCAGAAGUUUGAUCCGAAUAGUGACAGAGAUAAGUGGUGAAUGGCUAAUCGAAUACAACAUCUGAACCCUACAUAUAUAAUCACAAAUUAUCAGAACUUCAGAAGACACCAUGUAUGUAAAAAAUUUAGUACUGAAAUGCAACAGAUAUGUAACAAGAGUUGAUGAUUUAUUAUCAGUCUCAUUGAAUUGAAUUAUGUUG